CUGAUCUAAAAAUGCAUUUUCUAGUAUUAGCCGGGGACUAAUCCCAUCCAAGUUCCCAGCAUCUUGGGGCGAAGGGGCCCUUGUCUUGCUUCGGAAGUCCUUCAGAGCCAGAAACAUUUCACUUUUCAUGGCCGUGCCUGGAGGCUGGGAGGGUCACCGGCUGCCUAGAAACAAGGUUGAAGUUUUGGAAAAGAGCCUUAUUCCUGUGAUUGUUGAUCCACAGAUUUCCAGUGUUUCUUUAAUGGGCGUUCUCCGGCCUCAGCAGCCUCGCAGGCGCUCCUCACACCAACCCCGCUCCGGGCUUCCGGCACUUUUGAAACUGCCUUUUGGACUCGCCCUCAGGGCUGGUGUGUGAGCUGCAGAAGUAACCCCGUCAUAUUUCAGAAUUUUCACCCAAAGUGUUAUUAACCCAGCAUGAUUUUUUAUUUCAUUUACCCGAAAAGCUCCAGACGAUGGUGGCCUGUGUGUGCAGGAAAAAUGCCACUUCAGAGCUGAAAAGCAGAGGCCGUGGAAGGCAGUGGCCUGAAGGGUGAGAAGAGACGUUUUACAACUUCAGAGCUGAAAAGCGGACGCUGUGGAGGGCAGGGGCCUGAAGGAAGAGGAGCGACAUCUUCAUCUGUAGGACGCAUCGUUCAGGCCACAGAGCCCGCAAAUCUGGACCUUCCCCACGGUCACGAUCACUGGCGCAAGUGCGGGGCCUGCAGGUGGUGACUGACGGGCGGUGCAGUCGCGAUCCCCGAACUCUUCAACGUGUUUCAUGGCGCUGCUUCUCAACCUGAGACUGGAGGCUCCAGAGGCCUCACUGGCCACGCCGCUCCCGGGACCCCUCAGACCUCCCAGCCCGGACCUGAGGAGGCAGCUGCGGGAGGCUGCGUUUGCCGUUGCGCUCUCUGGAGCUGGAGAACCACCACGCGACUCCUGCACCCACUGUCAGGACCCCGAUGCCUCCCGGCUUGGAGAAAAGGACCCACUCCUCUCCGCGCUCUCUGCCCGUCGCCUGGCGCGGGGCCUCGCGGGGCUGAGAUCCUGAUGCCCAGGAGGAGCCACACCCGGCAGAGCCCCUCCUCUGCCGAGCCCAUCUCAGGUGGCUGGUUCCCUAGGAGUAAUACAAGGGGAAAAGGAUGCCAAUUUCCAUGGAUCGCCAUUUUCCAAGGUGCCGUGCUCGACACUUCACCAACUGUUGCUUCUCCCAAGGCCUUGAGGAAAGUAACAGUCAUACCUCCAGGUGGGAAAACCUCAGGGAAGCCUCUUCUGUCCUCCUAACUGGGAACAACUAAAAAUUCCUGGCGCGAGAGAUUUGUUUUUAUGGCACUGAUACCGUAAAUGGGAUACUUCACCAUUCCCCUUUCUGUGCAGGUGCUGAGAAAUGUUAGCAGAACCAACCCAGCGGCCAGCGCAUGCCGUGUGUGAACGUCCCUCCGAUGUGCACAUUUCUACUCACGGUGGGCCUCUAGGUUGUCCCUGCUAUGUUUUUCUGCUUCAUCUCACUCCAAGCUUUUCCUUCCUUGUUGCAUUUUAUAAAUAAGCUCCUGCUUCUCCUUUCUGUAUAUCAGACAGAUUUAAACAAAGAAAGAAAAGAAACACACAGGUGAUGAAGCAAGUCGUGCUCACCCAGGCUAUGUGGCAGGGCUCGGGCCUGGGUUUGACCCACAUUCAAGCCAAGAGUGUCCGAUCCUGCUGCUGCGCCGUCUCCCUCUGUCGAGUCGAAGACCGUUUACAAUACCUGAGGAGGCCAGAGGCUUUUCCUCACUCGGGGCACUCACUUCUCAGGGUCACGUCUCAGCAGCCUCCUCAAUAGCAGACCCCAUGGGAUGCACUUAUCCCAUGGCCUUGUACCCACCAUUCUUCCGUCUGAAGGUCCUGGGUGUGAGUGACUGGUUGGCAGCUGGUGGGUGGGGUUUCCAAGUGGGUGACAGCGCUCUCUGGCAGCCAGGAACACCGUGUCCACACUGACCAGGCCUGUGGAGAGUGCUCAGCCUAACCUUGGAACACAUUUGUAACUGAACGCACUGUUUUCACUUUGUAUGGAAUAGUUAAAAUAUUCUAUGAAAGUUGUGAAACGUGAACCAAAAGAAAAAACCUGGUGAGGUUAUGAAGGCUCAACUGCACCAAAAUCCUGGCCUUGAAACCAAAAUCCUGGCACUGACUCUCUUAGCAAUGUUAUGGGGGCUCUGCAAAGCUGAGAAGCCGAGUCCCAUAAGAAGAUAAAAGGUUGCGCCUGGAUGGCUUGUGUGUGGCAGAUGGGGAGGCUCCUCCUAGUCACGCCUGAACCUUCGGUCUGAACUGGAGCUCCACAGAGUGACGCUGCCCUGGAAUGCGGCAAACAUCCGCCUCCCUCCUGUGGCCGGUGCAUCCUCCAGCGUGUCCUCUGCUGGAAACGCACGUUAUCUCUAGAGCUGGCAGGUGCAGGACGCUGAGGGCUGAGUGUCUCUGGGAGCACGUCAGAUGUGAGAAUGAAAAGAGAGUCAGAGAUUGCCCUAGCCCUGCCUGGCGUGGAAAAUGUGGAGCAAAAUACAUCAGUGACUCCUGCCAGGCCUGUGGGAGAGUCAUGCCAGGCGUUUGCCAUGUUUGGUAACAACCAAGGAAGAGCGGCUGUGACAAAGUCAACACUUCUCCCUCGGGUCUCUGCCCAUCCCUUUCUGGAGUCAGUGACUAACAUUUCAGGGAGCACUGAGGUUGCCAGCUGAUCUCCCUUUACAUGGGGCCAUCCCCUUUUUGAAUGAGCUUAAAGCCAGGUACUUCACGCACUGCCAUGAUGUACAACCUGUUGCCAUGGGACCCCUUUCCAGUCUCGGGGGAGGACAGUCCACGUGCCUGGAUUCUAGAACCAUGCCUACCACACCAUUACAGGGAAGACGCCUCUAGGAAUCUAGCCGUGCCUUUCAGACAGGGAUAAUGUGGCCCACAGAUACCACCAGGCUCUUGUGAAUACAAUCAUGAGGUCACAGUGUGCCCAAACAGACGUGUCUCAGACAAACCGGAACCUGGGAAAUGGCCACUGACAUGGAGUCAGGAGCAACUUACUCUCAGGGUGCAGAUUUAUUCUAGAGUCUAUGUGAAGAAGAGAAGCCCAGAUAGAAACUGGGGAACAGGCCCAGGGGAAGGUGACCACGCGAGGAGAGCAGAGAAUCCAGGACGGUGGCCAGAGGCUGGAGCAGAGCUGGGGAGCAGGCUUCAAGCUCACAAUUCCAGCACCUGUGUGUGUGUGCACGUGUUAUGUACAUGUGUGCGCAUGCAUAUGUGCGUACUUGUGAGCACAUGUGUUUGCAUAUUUGCAUACGUGUGUGCACAGGCAUGUGUGUAUUGCGUGCUUGUGUGCACAAAUGUCUUCCCGUGUUUACAUGUAUGCACAUGUGCAUACUUCUGUGUGCAUGUAGACAUGUGUGUGUAUGUGUGCAUGUCUGUGCACAUGUGUGUGUGUUUCUGAGAGAAGAUCAGGCCAGCUCAGACUGCCUGACUGAGCACUGUACAGAAAGGCAGAGAAAAUAGCCUUUACCAGCAUUCUUGUUUGUUCAAAAUAAGGGAAGCUGUUAGAUUCUGAAGGGCGUGCUGCUGUAAUUCUUACUACCACUGUCUAAUUUAUGCAAACACUUGCCUGCAGCUGCUUCAGGAAAAGGCCUUUAUUAUCCCAAGGCCCCUCCUCCCCCGCACCCUCUGACCUGCAUGCAGAGCCCUCGGGAGCCUAUGUUUCCUGCCUGUGUUUGUGGGAAGUACUGCCGCAAUGGCCUCUGCGUGGGAGCCUGGUGAUGGGUUCCGCAACCUGGCCCUCCAUAGCCUCUUCAAUCACGUCUCCUUCAGAGAACGAAUAGCCUCCCACACAAACAUGAGUGAUUGGGAACCUUGGGAACUGUGGAAGUUUCAGCUUAAAUUCUUCUCUGAAGUUUAUCCAAAGUCCAGCUGACACUGAGCAUGAGGAUUUGAGGAGAAAAGGACUUAUGUGUUUCACUUGAAUCUUGCAAGCUUAGUUUCCUUCAAAAUGUACAACACAUAGGUUGGAUUCCUCCUCCACUGCUGAUCCCCAUCCCCCAAGCCACCAAGGUUCAGAUCCUGGAAUUUAAAGGGGUAGUGCGUGCACACACACACGGAUAUGCAAACACAUGUGUGUGCUCACAAUUACACACAUACACACGCACACACAUACAUAACACGUGCACACACACAGAGGUACUGGAAAUGUGAGCUUGAAGCCUGCUCCCCAGCUCUGCUCCUGCCUCUGGCCACCGUCCUGGAUUCUCUGCUCUGCUCACCUGGUCACCACCCCCUGGGCCUGUAAUUUGAAGAAUUUCUCAUUGGCUGUGUGACACUGGGCAACUGACUUAACCUCUCUGUGCCUCAGCUGUAAAAUGGACAUAGUAAUAAUAAUGCCCUCCCUCUUGAGGCUGUGAUGAGAAUAAAACAAGUAGAUGCAUUUGAAGUACAAGUGGCACCCACCGUGUGUCGCUUGUGUACAUGCAUGUCAUUCUCCCUGUAUGACCACUGGGAACGUUCAGGCCCACCCCAAUCUCCAGGAGGACAACUGGGGCCGAAGCUGAGUUGCUCACCCAUGGCCAAUGAUGUAAUCAAUCACAGCUCUGUAAUGAAGGCUCCAUAAAAACCCAAGAAGGCUGGGAUAGAGGAGCCUCAGGGUAGCUGGCCGUGUGGAGGGUGGCACCUGCGGAGCGCAGGGAAGCUUCACCCCCUCCCCCAGUCCUCACCUACACAUUGCUUCAUUGGCCCGUUCAUCUGUGCCCUUUGCAAUAAAGGGGUAAACAUAAGUCAAGCAUUUCCCCGAGUUCUGUGAGCCGAGCUAGCGAAUUAACCAAACCCAAGGAGAGGGUCUUAGGAACCCUGAUGUACAUAGAGCCAGCCGGUCAGAGAUACAGGGGCUUGCGAUUGGCACCUGAAGUGGGGGCCUUCUCGUGGGACUGAGCCCUCAGCCUGUGGGUCUGGCACUCAUUCCAGGUGGACAGUGUCAGGAUUGGUUGAACUACAGGACCCAGGGCCCCUCCUGACACUGCCCCGUCUCGGAGGUGGGGACGCGCUUGUCUGGGUGAGUCCCUGCUGGGGAUCUGACACUGGAAGACCUUCCAGGCGGCAGGAGGCUCAGGACCUCCCCCAGAAGCCCCUUCCCCUCCGACACUGGAAAUACAAGGUUUCGUUUCCACAAACCUGUGAGUUUGUGCAUAUUCUGCACUAGGACGCAACACGGAGUCAGGAGAGACUGUGGGGAAAAUAAGCAAAACAUGGCCAGACCCAUUUUCUUACCAAUUUUCAAGUGGAUUUCGGGUAUCAAACUAUCAUCCUGUUUGGUUUUUUUGUGCGGCAGGAUAUUAACCAGCGUUAGAGGGAGGGAGAUUCUGGGACAGGCUGCGGCGCGGAUGAGCCUUCCGGCUGCUGAGUGACAUGAGCCAGUCACUGAGAACAAAUCCUGCCCAACUCCACUUAGGUGGGGUCCAAAGAGUUGACAGGUUCACGGAGACAGGGA
rnacentral:lncRNA from 1 species